UACAGAGGGGGCAAGCGUUGUUCGGAAUUACUGGGCGUAAAGGGCGCGUAGGCGGCCUGCUAAGUCGAACGUGAAAUCCCCGGGCUCAACCCGGGAACUGCGUCCGAUACUGGCAGGCUUGAAUUCGGGAGAGGGAUGUGGAAUUCCAGGUGUAGCGGUGAAAUGCGUAGAUAUCUGGAGGAACACCGGUGGCGAAGGCGGCAUCCUGGACCGAUAUUGACGCUGAUGCGCGAAAGCGUGGGGAGCGAACAGG
rnacentral:rRNA from 1 species